rnacentral:lncRNA from 1 species
ACCACAUGAGCCAGAGCAUAGAGUAUUAUUCCUCCCUCCCUCCCUCCCUCCCUCCCUCGUUCUUCUUCUCUUUUCUUUCCUUCGGACAAGUUUCUUUUGGUGCACCGUUUCAAUUUGAAAAAAGUGAACUAAAACCUCUACUGUAAAAUACACCCAUCUUCAAUAUUUACGUAAUCUGAUUCUCUCUCAAUCAUCCUAGGGUUUGUUCUCUCUCAUCUCUACUAUUACCACUUCAAGUACCUAUUUCUUUCUAUAUAUAUCCGUGCGGCUUGUGCGUGUGUAUAUAUAUAAACGCAGGAAUACAUAUAAUUAUAAAUCUUGCUCUUGAAAAUUUGACUUCUUUUUACUCUUGAUUUUUUCUUUUCUUUUUUCUUUCUGAUUCUUGUGUAUGGCAUUUGAGAAUGAGAGCAAUAGUCAAAGAAGAUCCAUCCCGAAUCAACAUUUUGUUGAUUUUCGAGCUGUGAAUCAUCCUCAUCCUCAUUUGACCUUCAUUUCUGGACCACAAAUCAAUGUGAGAAACCCUAGAUUAUUGCCUGUGCUACCGCCUCAUCUAAUUCCGGUCAAUCCAGUUCAGUUGGCUCGUAUUGAACUCGAGAGAUCACGAUCUCUGAUAAAGGUAUGUAAACUUUAUCACCUUUUUGUAAUUGAAUUUUAAUAAAGNNNN